rnacentral:lncRNA from 1 species
UUAUAUAUUAUUAUUUUAAUUCUUCAAACAAUCAUCAAAUUAACACUAAUUAAAAAAAUUGUAUCUUUCUUUUAGAGCUAUUGGAAUGAACGGCUAGGUCAUAUAGCUACUAGGAAAAAAUGAAUAGUUAAGUAACAAUGUAAGGUCUAAAACUGACUAAUACUGAAUGUGUAUUUUACGGCCAAUAACUUAUUACGUAUACAAAAAACACUAUAGAGG